rnacentral:sRNA from 1 species
GUUAGGUGGAAACGAAAAUAAAACGUGAAGGAUAACGUUGCGUUAGCAACGGCCCGUAGGGCGAGGCGAAGCCGAGUCAUCCUGCACGACCCACCA